rnacentral:rRNA from 1 species
ACCCUGGAGUGGGGGAUAACGUAGCGAAAGUUACGCUAAUACCGCAUACGAUCUAAGGGUGAAAGUGGGGGAUUCGCAAGGACCUCAUGCUCCUGGAGCGGCCGAUAUCUGAUUAGCUAGUUGGUAGGGUAAAAGCCUACCAAGGCAUCGAUCAGUAGCUGGUCUGAGAGGACGACCAGCCACACUGGAACUGAGACACGGUCCAGACUCCUACGGGAGGCAGCAGUGGGGAAUUUUGGACAGUGGGCGCGGAGCCUGAUCCAGCAAUGCCGCGUGAGUGAAGAAGGCCUUC